rnacentral:rRNA from 1 species
UUUGAUGGCGACCGGCGCACGGGUGAGUAACACGUAUCCAACCUGCCGAUGACUCGGGGAUAGCCUUUCGAAAGAAAGAUUAAUACCCGAUGGCAUAGUUCUUCCGCAUGGUAGAACUAUUAAAGGAUUUCGGUCAUCGAUGGGGAUGCGUUCCAUUAGGUUGUUGGCGGGGUAACGGCCCACCAAGCCUUCGAUGGAUAGGGGCUCUGAGAGGAAGGUCCCCCACAUUGGAACUGAGACACGGUCCAAACUCCUACGGGAGGCAGCAUG